UGGCGUCAGGUCAUUUCAGACUCUUCUGUGUCGAGUGGAGGAGCAACUCUGUGCCCAGCUUAGAGGACUGGAAGAGGCCGCAAUCUUCCGCCUGCUGGAGGGUGGAGGAUGGAUGGAGCCUGGAACCUGGGUCACUACCUCGCUGCAGUUGGUGGUGGCGAUAGAGCAGUAGGAGAGCAUUCGGCAGCAGGAGCUUCUCCUGCUGGGCUGGAGGACUAGAAGGAAGAGGCACUGCCACAUGCUGGAGGCUGGAACCUGUGCCACCAUGGCUCGCCUCGCUGUGGUUGGUGGUGACAUCGGAGACUGCAGCUCAGCCACAGUGGUAGAAAUGUGAUGGUGUAGACUCCAGACUCUAGAAGGCGAUUUUCUUCUGCUCGAGCUGGAUUGCAUGAUGGUUUCCUAGAAACAUGAUUGUUUAUUGGCGUUGAUCUCGCAGUCUGGUGAGAACUUCUUUACUGAUAAUGUCAAGUUCAGUUUAUCCUCCCAACCAAGGAGCAUUCAGCACAGAACAAAGUCGUUCUCCUCCUCACUCUGUAAAGUAUACGUUUCCCAGCACCCACCACCAGCAGGAUCCAGCAUUUGGAGGCAAACAUGAAGCUCCAUCCUCUCCAAUUUCGGGGCAACCAUGUGGAGAUGAUCAAAAUGCUUUACCUUCAAAACUUUCAAACGAAGAGUUAAUACAAAGUAUGGAUCGUGUAGAUUGAAAAAUUGCAAAAGUAGAACAGCAGAUCCUUAAACUGAAAAAGAAACAAGUAAAAGUCUUUGCCUAAUAUAUUCUAAGAAUGUAUGUUUUUCUCCCUACAGAAGAUAAUUUUGAGUUUUCCAUAUUUUGAAACUUUACAUAAAAGGAAUCAUGCCUUA
rnacentral:lncRNA from 1 species